GAUCAUGGCUCAGGAUGAACGCUAGCGGCAGGCUUAACACAUGCAAGUCGAGGGGCAGCGUGGAGUAGCAAUACUCUGACGGCGACCGGCGAAAGGGUGAGUAACGCGUGAGCAACAUGCCCGGUAGUGGAGAAUAGUCGAUGGAAACGUCGCGUAAUACUCCGUAACAUAGGAGACCGCAUGAUCUUCUAUUAAUAGAUUUAUCGCUACCGGAUUGGCUCGCGUACCAUUAGCUAGUUGGCGGGGUAACGGCCCACCAAGGCGACGAUGGUUAGGGGUUCUGAGAGGAAGGUCCCCCACAUUGGAACUGAGACACGGUCCAGACUCCUACGGGAGGCAGCAGUGAGGAAUAUUGGACAAUGGCCGAGAGGCUGAUCCAGCCAUGCCGCGUGCCGGGAAGACGGCCCUAUGGGUUGUAAACCGCUUUUGUUGGGGAGCAAUAAGGUCCACGUGUGGAUCGAUGAGAGUACCCAGCGAAUAAGCAUCGGCUAACUCCGUGCCAGCCGCCGC
rnacentral:rRNA from 1 species